UUUCUUUCAGUUAACAGCCUCAAGAUUUAUACCGGAAUGUUAACAAAAUUUUCCGUGAGUAUUCUUCGAAGUUUUUCUAACGGUACAUACGAUUGCAGAAUUAACAAUUUGUCCGAUUUUUGAUAUGUUUGGAUGCAUCGACAAACUUGCAACUAUGGUUUAAUCCAAUUCUGUCAAUGCUUCCUUUUAAAAUUACAUUCUCGCUCCUUUCUACCUUAUUCUAGAAGAAACCUCCCAACAUAAACCCGUAUAAGGAGAUUCAAACAUGCGAAAUGACUAGUUGCUUAAGCGUUCAAGUUAGAGUCACACAAUCAAUUACCUCCUGAAUGUAUCGUCUCUAUUUUCAAUAUCUGAACACACAAGAAAACUAUAAUUUCCUCCUUCACUUUAUCGGGCUCUUCCUUACAAAAAUUUAGUCAUACUAAUAAC
rnacentral:lncRNA from 1 species